UGAUGAAGAUCAAAGUCUCUGGGCUAUGGCGCAUCGCUGGAGACAUCGGGCUGAAGGACGACUCUGGCUGCGCCGGCUCCGGACUGUGGGCCGUCUCCCUCUCGGCUCCGGACUGUGGGCCGUCUCCCUCUCGGCUCCGGACUGUGGGCCGUCUCCCUCUCGGCUCCGGACUGUGGGCCGUCUCACAGUUAGUUUUCAACACUGGAGAAUUUGUACAAACGUUGCUGUCUGUCUCUGACAUUUGCAACAUUAUUUCAACAUUCAAAUUCGAUCUCCAGCUGUCGGGAUGAGAUAGACAUGCAGGCAGCUUUUCUCAACCAGUCGAAAUCAUGAAUCAGCAUCAUUUUUAUGGAUAUAUACACAAAUAAUUAUCAAUCGAAAACGUAAAAUAUUUAUGAAGUGCACCUAGUUUGCUGUCUUUCCAGCUUCAGUUUGAAGUGAUUGUGUUAGUUGUGUUGUUGGCUAGCUCUUCUGAACAACAGUGUCCUGUCGAGAGAGCACAUUUUCUAUGCCAGUUAAAAUCGUGCAUCAUUAGCUCAUUGUUAUAGAUGUAUCCAAAUAAAUGUAAAUAGAAAACAUCUUAAACAAAUGCAAAUACUUUGCUGUUAUUCUGGCUGCACUUUUUGACAUGACUGUAAGUUAGCCACAGUUGGCUAGCUAGCAAGCAAGGGAUAAGAACGUUUCCAGCCAGUAUGGCAAUGGAACAUUUAAAAAGAACGACUGGGUCACAUCGUAAACUUCUGACUUCAACUGUAUAUCCUCCAAACACUCACUUCUUUGGCGUCAUCACUUAACUAUGUUGUUAUUCCUGUUUGAAGAGAGGGGAGAGAUCCUGGAGAUUGAAGUUGUUGUUUAACUUAUUUUAAUGCCUAAUGUUUGCCAUCUUUCAUUGUGAAGUGUGUUGCGAUUUUACAAAUGCACAUGAAAUAAAGUUUAAUCUAUAAAGUUUCAUAGGGAACUGAACAGAAAGGCGAGCGGACAAGAAGGAAUAUGCAUCCGUGUACUGUAGACUUAGAAACACCCACACAUGACACACCCAAUUUGACCACCCAAUAAAGCUGAUGAAUAACCAACACCUAACCAACACCAGUCCAUUUCCAAUACCUGAAGUGGAACAACAUGGGGUACAAAGAAAAUGAAAACGCAUUUAUUGGCAUAAAAGUUACAAAAAAAACAAAUUUGAAGAUUAAAAUUUCAACUCAAAAUAAUU